rnacentral:rRNA from 1 species
GAUGAACGCUGGCGGCGUGCCUAAUACAUGCAAGUCGAGCGAACGGACGAGGAGCUUGCUUCUCUGAUGUUAGCGGCGGACGGGUGAGUAACACGUGGAUAACCUACCUAUAAGACUGGGAUAACUUCGGGAAACCGGAGCUAAUACCGGAUAAUAUUUUGAACCGCAUGGUUCAAUAGUGAAAGACGGUCUUGCUGUCACUUAUAGAUGGAUCCGCGCUGCAUUAGCUAGUUGGUAAGGUAACGGCUUACCAAGGCAACGAUGCAUAGCCGACCUGAGAGGGUGAUCGGCCACACUGGAACUGAGACACGGUCCAGACUCCUACGGGAGGCAGCAGUAGGGAAUCUUCCGCAAUGGGCGAAAGCCUGACGGAGCAACGCCGCGUGAGUGAUGAAGGUCUUCGGAUCGUAAAACUCUGUUAUUAGGGAAGAACAUAUGUGUAAGUAACUGUGCACAUCUUGACGGUACCUAAUCAGAAAGCCACGGCUAACUACGUGCCAGCAGCCGCGGUAAUACGUAGGUGGCAAGCGUUAUCCGGAAUUAUUGGGCGUAAAGCGCGCGUAGGCGGUUUUUUAAGUCUGAUGUGAAAGCCCACGGCUCAACCGUGGAGGGUCAUUGGAAACUGGAAAACUUGAGUGCAGAAGAGGAAAGUGGAAUUCCAUGUGUAGCGGUGAAAUGCGCAGAGAUAUGGAGGAACACCAGUGGCGAAGGCGACUUUCUGGUCUGUAACUGACGCUGAUGUGCGAAAGCGUGGGGAUCAAACAGGAUUAGAUACCCUGGUAGUCCACGCCGUAAACGAUGAGUGCUAAGUGUUAGGGGGUUUCCGCCCCUUAGUGCUGCAGCUAACGCAUUAAGCACUCCGCCUGGGGAGUACGACCGCAAGGUUGAAACUCAAAGGAAUUGACGGGGACCCGCACAAGCGGUGGAGCAUGUGGUUUAAUUCGAAGCAACGCGAAGAACCUUACCAAAUCUUGACAUCCUUUGACAACUCUAGAGAUAGAGCCUUCCCCUUCGGGGGACAAAGUGACAGGUGGUGCAUGGUUGUCGUCAGCUCGUGCCGUGAGAUGUUGGGUUAAGUCCCGCAACGAGCGCAACCCUUAAGCUUAGUUGCCAUCAUUAAGUUGGGCACUCUAAGUUGACUGCCGGUGACAAACCGGAGGAAGGUGGGGAUGACGUCAAAUCAUCAUGCCCCUUAUGAUUUGGGCUACACACGUGCUACAAUGGACAAUACAAAGGGCAGCGAAACCGCGAGGUCAAGCAAAUCCCAUAAAGUUGUUCUCAGUUCGGAUUGUAGUCUGCAACUCGACUACAUGAAGCUGGAAUCGCUAGUAAUCGUAGAUCAGCAUGCUACGGUGAAUACGUUCCCGGGUCU